UAAUUCCACACCCGGACCGCACGUGUGUGACAAGAGAAAGAGUUCGGCACUUUGCCAAGCUUUUGCUGCGUCUUGGGCGCUUGUCGCGGACGCCGACUCCGACGUUAGGGGCGGGGAGCUUCUUUCGGCUGCCGGUGUGGCUGUUCGCGCAGCUCCGGUGUUGUGUGGCGUUGGUCAACCUCGGCGAGCUCCCCGCGGCGCCGGCUCGUUUCCUCGCCUUGCACAACGCGCUCCCCGCCGCCCCGGAGAGCCUCGCCGCCGCCUUGGCGCUCGGCAACCCCCCGUGCGCUGGAGGCUCGCUGUGGGAAGUCGGCGUGCCAGACUCUCCGAGUGGCCGGAGACAGAAGCGCCAAAAGCCGCGAGUUUUGUUCAUGAGGGUGCUUCGCAUGUACAGGCCGGACUUGGCUCUGCUGCUCGGAGGGUUAUGCCUUCUCACCAUGGCUGCCGCCUGCAAAUUGCACAGUUUCGCCAUGAGGAUGAGGAUAAAAGAAGGGUCCGAAAUUAAUGCGGCAGAUGAAACAUACUUAUCACGUGUACGCCUAAAUGCCUUUCGGAAUCAAAAAGCUGCCCAUUUUCAAGAGAAAAAAAGUCAUUCCUAUUUUCUUUCGUGAGAAGUUGGUGGUUUAUUGGGGGGGGGGGUUUCUAUGCCCAUUGUGUAGGUAAACCACUUUGCAAAUAAAAAAUAAAACGUUCAACACAAACCAUUUGCGGACCCUUCUGACAACCCAAGUUCAAGAACUUCUGGUCAAGUGUCCGCCCAUCUUGUUUUUGUUUGCGCAGCGCUCUGGGCGGCGGCAGCCGAGGGCGUCUCCUUAUGGGGGCCAUUAGCUCCUUCAAGUGCAGAGUGAAGGCAAAGUUCUUACAUACUCAGACCAACCAGGACGGAGACGUCGGUUUUCGACACCGCAAAGAUAGGUAAUGCAGAGAGCGUGGUACAAAAAUAGUGCACAGCAAACAAGUGGUGAAUCUCUCAUGGAUGCAAACAUGUUUAGUGCUCUUGGAGGUCCCCGUCAUGGGCCUCAUCCAGACCAUCUCCAACAAACAGCACCGGUUGGCUAGUCGAGUGGUCUUCAAAUAAAGCCACCCCAAAUCGAUGACUCGCCCAAGCCCACGAAUGACGCAACCUUGCGUUUGCAGCAGUUGACUCCAUGACCGCGGCAAACGAGGCGGCUCACGAGAUCAUCCUGGCCGUUCGGACGGUGCGGAGCUUCAACGCUGAGAAACACGAGGCCCGUCACGAUGACGACCGGCUGAUGGACACGCACAGGGUCAAGACCCGGCGCGACACUGUCAGGAUCAUGUCCCUUCUGGGUAAGAAGCCGUUCAAACUAUUUUGGCAACAUUGGAUUUGGGGCCCUCAAUUUCUGCCAAUAAUAAUAACAAGAAGAAGAAGAAUAGUUUUGUGUGUGUCUUUUAGAGGUGAGAUCGGGCCUAAAAAAUCUAGUCCGACCCGACCCGAGUUCGACCAAUUAACUUGAUUUGCAGGCCCGAGCCCGAAGCAAACCCGAAGUUUCAUAUUUUAUUUGUGAGGACUCGGGAGGAGGAGGGGUGAUUUAUGAUAACAAAUUAAAGCCUGUCUUUUGGAACGCAAUCCAACUUAAACAAGACUGUAUAAAUAUUUACAUCUAUUAUAUUUCUGUUU